UCCAGUUUAUCACUGGCAGUCUCUUCAAAGUUCUCAGCAUUACCUGUUAGCAACUAAAGAUAGGGGUUGCGCCCGUUAAAGGACUUAACCCAACAUCUCACGACACGAGCUGACGACAGCCAUGCACCACCUGUGCGGAGUCCGGCCGAACCGAAAAUUUGAUCUCUCAAAUCGAUGACUCCCAUGUCAAGAGCUGGUAAGGUUUUUCGCGGAUUAUCGAAUUAAACCACAUGCUCCACCGCUUGUGCGGGUCCCCGUCAAUUCCUUUGAGUUUUAGUCUUGCGACCGUACUCCCCAGGCGGAUUGCUUAACGCGUUAGCUUCAACACCGGGAAUUAUUCAUUCCCGACGUUUAGCAAUCAUCGUUUAGGGCGUGGACUAC
rnacentral:misc_RNA from 1 species